CCUGCAUGUUUUUGGAUGUUGGGAGGAAGCCGGAUCACUCGGAGAGAACCCACACGGACAGAACAUGCAAACUCCACACAGAAACCGGGGUUUGAAUCCACCACCUUCUUGCUGUGAGGCGACCACUGCACAACAGCCAACACAAUUUAGAAAUACAGUGAACACUGAAAAGGGCAGUUUCAGUAUGCAGUGGAAGUCGAUGGAUGUGAUUGCUACAAUCAUAUUUGUCAGGCCUGCCGCAGCCCGACUCCCUGCCGGAAACCUGACUCCUGUCUUCGCUCCAUUCCUGCUCUGCUUGGAUUCUGGAUUCCCCAGCCCGCCUGGAUUCCCCCCACUGGACCUGCUCUGGACCUGCUCUGGGCUCUCUCUCAAUUAUGUUUAUUAGGUACACUUGAAUAGCCCAAAACAGCCCCACAAUGAAUCUGUAAUACCUUUUAUGAAGUUUGUUUUUAUACCAUCUUUCUGUUCCUUUAGUUGUGCAAAACAGUGUUUGUAUAGUUUACACUGUGUCAGAUAAUUCUACU